rnacentral:rRNA from 1 species
UACGUAGGGUGCGAGCGUUGUUCGGAAUUAUUGGGCGUAAAGAGCUCGUAGGCGGUGUGUCACGUCGGCCGUGAAAACCUGCAGCUUAACUGUGGGCGUGCGGUCGAUACGGGCAUCACUGGAGUUCGGCAGGGGAGACUGGAAUUCCUGGUGUAGCGGUGAAAUGCGCAGAUAUCAGGAGGAACACCGGUGGCGAAGGCGGGUCUCUGGGCCGAUACUGACGCUGAGGAGCGAAAGCGUGGGGAGCAAACAGG